rnacentral:rRNA from 1 species
GUUAGGAAUAUUGGACAAUGGGCGCAAGCCUGAUCCAGCCAUGCCGCGUGAGUGAUGAAGGCCUUCGGGUUGUAAAGCUCUUUAGCCGAUGAUUAUAAUGACUGUAGUCGGAAAAUAAGCCCCGGCUAACUUCGUGCCAGCAGCCGCGGUAAUACGAAGGGGGCGAGCGUUAUUCGGAAUCACUGGGCGUAAAGCGUGCGUAGGCGGCUUUGCAAGUUGGGAGUGAAAGCCCAGGGCUCAACCCUGGAAUUGCUCUCAAAACUGCAAGGCUCGAAUUCGGGAUAGGAUAGCGGAAUUGUCAGUGUAGCAGUGAAAUGCGUAGAUAUUGACAGGAACACCAGUGGCGUAAGCGGCUAUCUGGACCGAUAUUGACGCUGAGGCACGAAAGCGUGGGGAUCAAACAGGAUUAGAUACCCGGGUAGUCC